UCACUUCUCCAAUGAAUAUACUAAAGUUGGAAUGAUACAGAGAAGACAAACAAGGACCCUGCGCAAGGGUAGCACGGAAAAUCAUGAAGCGUUCUGCAUUUUU